rnacentral:rRNA from 1 species
AGCGAACGCUGGCGGCAGGCCUAACACAUGCAAGUCGAACGAACCUUUCGGGGUUAGUGGCGGACGGGUGAGUAACACGUGGGAACGUGCCUUUAGGUUCGGAAUAACUCAGGGAAACUUGUGCUAAUACCGAAUGUGCCCUUCGGGGGCAAGAUUUAUCGCCUUUAGAGCGGCCCGCGUCUGAUUAGCUAGUUGGUUGAGGUAAUGGCUCACCAAGGCGACGAUCAGUAGCUGGUCUGCGAGGAUGAUCAGCCACAUUGGGACUGAGACACGGCCCAAACUCCUGCGGGAGGCAGCUGUGGGGAAUCGUGCGCAAUGGGCGAAAGCCUGACGCAGCCAUGCCGCGUGAAUGAUGAAGGUCUUAGGAUUGUAAAAUUCUUUCACCGGGGACGAUAAUGACGGUACCCGGAGAAGAAGCCCCGGCUAACUUCGUGCCAGCCGCCGCCGUAA